rnacentral:lncRNA from 1 species
UAGUAGAUUAAUUAUUUCAAUAAAACAAUAAAAUUUCUAUGAGAGGGUAAAUGGCAUAACAAUACACUCCUUCUCAAGUGCAGAACUUGAAAACACCAUUCCCAAGCAGAAUAUAAAUGCAUUUUUUGGUGUAUUAUUCUCUGAUAUUUCCUCUUUUGAAUAGCAGAGAAAGAAGUAUGUGUGUGGCACUGUGGUUAAAUAUGGAAUGCAGGCUCUAAAGGAUUCCUUUUCCUCUGAAAGUCUUAACAGGCGCCUCACCUUUCUCUGGUUUUCCUUCUAGUCUCAUGCAAAGACUAAACAACAACAAUCAACUCGAUAAAAUAGUGUCCAUAGGCCAGCUUAGGUUAGGCUGGUUGCAUGGAAAGAAUGUGACUGGGAAUUCAUAUCCUAGAGUCAAGCCAGAAACUUAAUGAUUAAACAAAUCACUUCCUUGAACGCAGUCUUUUUCCAAGGUUCUGUUAGCCAUACUCUCAGGAAGCUGUGAAGUAGGGAGAUCUACGUGGGGGUCUCUUUGUACUGAGACUCAUCAGCAUCUCGGAAAGCAGAAGGGCCUGAAUUAUUGCAGGCACAAGUGGGAGGCUGGGACAGCAUUUCUGACUUCCUGGUAGCAGCAGCAAAAAUGGCAAAAUGAGGACUUUUGAGAAUUCCUUUCUCUAUGGAAACAAAACCCUGGGGGAAAAUGGUCUGAAUCAACCUUUUCAGAACUCUGGAAAUUAGCCCGAGACUUGAAGCAAUUCAGGUUGCAUUUGUAUAAGAAAAGUGACAGAAUCUCAGUAAGAACAGCAAGCUUUGAAGGAUUUGAACUUGCCCAGUUGCCUUCCUUCUUUCUCCAUCUCUGCAGGGGACUUAAAACCAACAUCCCACACUCAUAAUGAAAACCUGGCAGGAGGCAGAACAGGAUUGGAGCUGCUUCAAAGCCUUAGGUCCAGAGAACUCAUCACCUAUGCAGAUCCUCAAUAAGACUCAAAGCUGAUUCCGCCUCAGAAACCAUGGAGACCCAAAGCCAAAUUCAAAGUGCUGAAAGUUAACUCAUCCAAUCAGUCAACUCUUGUACAGACCUCCUUUUUUUUUGUUCUUGGAGUUUGUUUUAUUCUAAUAAAGGUGUUUUAUAUUGUUGUUGUAUUAUUCUUAAAUACCAUAUUUUAGUUGCUAUUAUAAAUGGUACUUCUAUUGCCGUUUUGUCUAACAUUUUCUGGUGGUCAAAUUUCUAGCUAGUGUGGAAGAACACUGAUGGUUUUUACUUAUUGAUUUUCUCUCUGGCAAUCUCACUAAACCUUAUGAUAAGUAAUAAACCUUAUGAUAGUAGAAAAGGUUGAUAUGAUAUGAUAGUAGUAAUCCUCUGGAUUACCCAUCCCCUCUUGAUAAUCUCUGUUGAAAUAAUCACAUUAUGUGCAACUAAUGACAAUGUCACUGCUCUUAUAGUCUCUAUGUGCAUUUCUUUUUCUUGUCUUACUGCUUUGACUCAUUCAGUUGACUGCCAUUCACAGAACAGAUGUGGAACGGUUGUUUUCGUUAUCAUGUGCCUAAAAAGAAUGUGAUUAAAAUUUGCCAGUUCAAUAUAAUAUUGGAUGUAGGGUUUUAAUAAAUAACUUUCAACAAACUGCAAGAGUCAUCUUCCCUUUCUAGUAUUCUAAUGGCACUGGUUUUUUAAAAAUAAUAAAUUGGUAUUGAAGUUGUCUUAUGCUUUUUUCUGUAUCCAUUUCCAUUAAGAUAAUUAUUUGGAUUUUUUCUACUUUUCAUUAUAUGAUAUAUUGAAUAAUUAUAUUUUCUGAGGCUGAACUCUCCUUGAAUCUCUGUUACAAAUGCUGCUUGUCAUGAGAUACUAUUUUUCAUGCUGUCGUUAAAUUAGUAAAUUAAUUUUUAUUUAGGAUCUUAAAUCUACAUAUGUAAGUAAAACU